AUUUCACUUCCUGUUGUUUGACUUCCUGUGGUUCGACUUCCUGUGGUUCGACUUCCUGUUGUUCGACUUCCUGUUGUUUCACUUCCUGUUAUUUCACUUCCUGUUGUUUGACUUCCUGUUAUUUCACUUCCUGCUGUUUGGCUUCCUGUUAGUUCCACAUGCUUCUGUUCAUCAUCUCCACCUGAGUUCGUCUCCUCAGUUUCUGACUUCCUGUCACAUGACCACACACAAACACACACACACACAGUCACGUUUGUAACAACAUACAGUCAUGACAUCAUUAAAUAGAUUCAAAAAGAAACCCACCGCAUCCACGAAUGGCCAUGGUGCUGCACCUUCCGGUGUGCCCAUCUUGGCCACCUGGGGGCAGUAUAAGACAGACAGUGUACUGUGUACAUGGAGACAUCUCCUUACAGCUCCUCAGUACAGCACUAAUAUUAAGUCGUUCUACACAGACGAUAAUAUAUAGUAAGAUAUGACUGUGUGUACCGUUCUGUUGUCUGUCUACAUGUUGUCCCAAAAACUGUUGCCGUUUGUGUGCAGUGCUCGUAUGUCAAAAUUUUGCUCACAAGUCAAAGCAACAAGGUCAUCCAAAGGAUGUAAAAAAUCUGUUGCCGCUGAAACGGCGCCCGCUUCCCCAUUGUGGGACCGAUUAAGGUUAUCUCAUCUCAUCUCCUCUAACAGAGCCUUGGAUGUCCCACAGCCCGUGAAUGCGUUGCGAAUAACUACGCCGCCAUCGUCUUCUCCAAUAUUUCCGAGCUCAUCCGGAGAUCUUCAUGCGGUCUCAACACCUCCAAAUAUAACAGCGCCAACAACACGACACGCUCCUCCUCCAGCGCGAGUUGCCACACUGCAAACCGUCACAGGCUUCCGCCCCCGCACCCAAAAUCCAGCAGAGCUGACCUCCUCUUUGUCUUCCUCCUCCUCUUCCUCACCCGGCAACAACUUUGGCAUCCCGGUGCUGUUACCAUGGGGACCAGCCUCUUUCCAUCACAAGUGUUUGACACCGAGAAACUCCUCCAUGCUGCCAACGCACGCGCGCACACACGCCCACACGCACUGACAGUGGUUGCUGAGCAACAGGUUGACAUUCAAACUUUACACAGUUUUCAUUCAUUUUAUCUUUCCAAGUCUUAUAGUCAAUGUUUGACAUAUUUUAUGUUUAUUAGUCAUAACUAUCACAAAAGUAUGGGUUUUUGGUGUGGCAGCAAUACGCUUGCGUACAAAAGAAACAUACGGACCUUUAUAAACGUAGGAAGCGGCUCAACCGGGCCGAGGAGAGGAAGGACCGGACCGGCGGCCAGCGGUCCGAGGUCGUCUUUUCCCGCGAAAGUAAAGUGAGCUUUUCAUUCGGGAAUCAAGGUCCAAGGGUUUGGAGGAAGACCGGUGAAGAACAGAACCCAAGCUGCUCGAGGUCCAGUGUGAAAUAUCCACAGUGAGUCAUCAUUAAAUCCAAGGUCACCGCAGCAGUCGAGAGGACUUGAUGAUUCCUUCUGCUGAAGAUCUGUACGGAGAUGCGGAUUUCAUCUUCCGGCAGGACCUGGCCCCUGCCCCGUGCCGUCAGAAGCACCGAAACCUAGUUUGACGCCCAUGCCAUCACAGCGCUGAUCGCCCGAUCUAAACCCCAUUGAGAAUCGAUGGCGUAUUACCAAGAGGAAAAUGAAAAACAAAGAAGAACUCUGGGCUUCCAUAACUCCCAGGCGACGCCGCAGGUUGAUUGCCUCAAUGCCACGGCGCACCGAGGCAGUGAUUCGAGCUAAGGGAUUCCCAACCAAGUAUUGAACGUUAACAUAUUGUUUUGAAAGUACCAUAUUUGUUCAUGUGACCCUCAUUUCUUUCUUUUUUUCUGCAAAAACUAAGACAAUGGUCAUUUCUUCACAGUAUUCUCCUUUUCUGAAUUUCUGAUUUUGUGGGUUUUAUGAGCUGGAAGCCCAAAUUAUGUAAAUACAAACAAAUAAAUACUUGAAAUUGUCGGCCCCUUAUCUAUAA